rnacentral:rRNA from 1 species
GACGAACGCUGGCGGCGUGCUUAACACAUGCAAGUCGAACGGAAAGGCCUCUUUCGGGGGGUACUCGAGUGGCGAACGGGUGAGUAACACGUGAGUAACCUGCCCUUGACUUUGGGAUAACUUCAGGAAACUGGGGCUAAUACCGGAUAGGAGCUCCUGCUGCAUGGUGGGGGUUGGAAAGUUUCGGCGGUUGGGGAUGGACUCGCGGCUUAUCAGCUUGUUGGUGGGGUAGUGGCUUACCAAGGCUUUGACGGGUAGCCGGCCUGAGAGGGUGACCGGCCACAUUGGGACUGAGAUGCGGCCCAGACUCCUACGGGAGGCAGCAGUGGGGAAUAUUGCACAAUGGGUGGAAGCCUGAUGCAGCAACGCCGUGUGCGGGAUGACGGCCUUCGGGUUGUAAACCGCUUUCGCUCAUGACGAAGCUUUGUGUGACGGUAGUGGGUAAAGAAGCACCGGCUAACUACGUG